AAAAUUUGGGCCUCUUUCAAGAUAUAAAACUUGGGCCUGAGCUUUGUUUUAAAGCCCAAAGAGUAAAAAAAGCCCAAUACUUUACCGUAAAGAGUUGGAGGGAACACAAAAAACCACAUGAAAAUGGCGGUAUGGCGCCAACAUGUACGAUUUGCGAAACACAAGCCACACACUGCGACUCUAUCACUCACUCUUUAGAUCUCAAAAUUUUUUCUCUCAUGCUGCUAUAGUGCUAUUGAUAUUGAUAUAUGAUGAAGAUUUUUGGGGUUUCCAUUUUGAUUCGCUUUGUUCAUGCGCGCUUAGAUCAGAUCUGAAAGGAGUUGGGAGGAGAAUCCUCAGCUCCCGUUUCUCUGCUUUGGCAUCACCCGGCUCACAUUCUCCCUUCAAGAAUAGAGCCUAGGUACUACCAUUGACUCAUUAUUGUUCCUAAUUUUUUUCCAUGUUUUUUUUAAAGAAAAAAUUGCUCACUCUGAGUAUGACAGGAACAGGUUAAACUUCAUAUUAAACAAAGAAAAUUGUCACUGUUGGUACAUAUAUUUUACAGAACAAGAUAAAUUUU